rnacentral:tRNA from 1 species
GGGCUCGUAGCUUAGUGGCAGAGUGCUUGUAUGGCAUACAAGAGGUCGGGAGUUCGAUUCUCCCCGAGUC